rnacentral:rRNA from 1 species
GACGAACGCUGGCGGCGUGCUUAACACAUGCAAGUCGAACGAAGUGGCGAACGGGUGAGUAACGCGUAAUCAACCUGCCCUUCAGAGGGGGACAACAGUUGGAAACGACUGCUAAUACCGCAUACUGAAGGAGGGGAUUGCGUUGUAUUAGCUAGUUGGAGGGGUAACGGCACACCAGGGCGAUGAUCAGUAACCGGUAUGAGACGAUGAACGGCUACAUUGGGACUGCGGCACGGCCCAGACUCCUCCGGUAGGCAACAGUGGGGAAUCUUCCGCAAUGGACGUAAGUCUGACGGAGCAACGCCGCGUGAGUGAUGACGGCCUUCGGGUUGUAAAGCUCUGUUAAUCGGGACGCGGUACCGGAAUAGAAAGCCACGGCUAACUACGUGCCAGCAGCCGCGGUAAUUC